AGAGUUUGAUCCUGGCUCAGAACGAACGCUGGCGGCAUGCCUAACACAUGCAAGUCGAACGGGAUGAGGGGGCUUGCUCCUUCAUUUAGUGGCGCACGGGUGAGUAACGCGUAGAUAAUCUGCCUGAUGAUCUGGGAUAACACUUCGAAAGGGGUGCUAAUACCGGAUAAGCCCACGUGGUCUUUGGACCGUGCGGGAAAAGGGGGGGACCUUUUGGCCUUCUGUCAUCAGAUGAGUCUGCGUACCAUUAGCUAGUUGGUAGGGUAAAGGCCUACCAAGGCUACGAUGGUUAGCUGGUCUGAGAGGAUGAUCAGCCACACUGGAACUGAGACACGGUCCAGACUCCUACGGGAGGCAGCAGUGGGGAAUUUUGCGCAAUGGGGGCAACCCUGACGCAGCAACGCCGCGUGAGUGACGAAGGCCCUUGGGUCGUAAAACUCUGUCAGCAGGAAAGAAGUUACAUGUGGUUAAUACCCAUGUGUAUUGACGGUACCUGCAAAGGAAGCACCGGCUAACUCCGUGCCAGCAGCCGCGGUAACACGGAGGGUGCAAGCGUUAUUCGGAAUUAUUGGGCGUAAAGGGCGCGUAGGCGGCCGAACAGGUCAGGUGUGAAAGCCCGGGGCUUAACCCCGGAAGUGCAUUUGAAACCUUUUGGCUUGAGUAUGGGAGAGGAGAGCGGAAUUCCUGGUGUAGAGGUGAAAUUCGUAGAUAUCAGGAGGAACACCGGUGGCGAAGGCGGCUCUCUGGACCAAUACUGACGCUGAGGCGCGAAGGCGUGGGUAGCAAACAGGAUUAGAUACCCUGGUAGUCC
rnacentral:rRNA from 1 species